rnacentral:snoRNA from 1 species
UUCCAGGAUGAAUGGCACUGGGCUCCGACGGUGUUGAUACAUCAACCCGGUUAUGAUGGAUAUGCCCUUUUUGUGGCAGGCCUAGAAAACCUCGCCCACUGAUU